UACGUAGGGGGCAAGCGUUUAUCCGGAAUCAUUGGGCGUAAAGCGCGUGUAGGCGGUUCCGUAAGUCCGCUCUGAAAGCCCUGGGCUCAACCUGGGAACGGCAAUGGAUACUGGCAGGCUAGAGUGCGGUAGAGGGUAGUGGAAUUCCCGGUGUAGCGGUGAAAUGCGUAGAUAUGCGGAGGAACACCGGAUGGCGAAGGCAAUCCCCUGGACCUGU
rnacentral:rRNA from 1 species